GACGAACGCUGGCGGCGCGCUUAACACAUGCAAGUCGAACGGAAAGGCCCUGCUUUUGUGGGGUGCUCGAGUGGCGAACGGGUGAGUAACACGUGAGUAACCUGCCCUUGACUUUGGGAUAACUUCAGGAAACUGGGGCUAAUACCGGAUAGGAGCUCCUGCUGCAUGGUGGGGGUUGGAAAGUUUCGGCGGUUGGGGAUGGACUCGCGGCUUAUCAGCUUGUUGGUGGGGUAGUGGCUUACCAAGGCUUUGACGGGUAGCCGGCCUGAGAGGGUGACCGGCCACAUUGGGACUGAGAUACGGCCCAGACUCCUACGGGAGGCAGCAGUGGGGAAUAUUGCACAAUGGGCGGAAGCCUGAUGCAGCAACGCCGCGUGCGGGAUGACGGCCUUCGGGUUGUAAACCGCUUUCGCCUGUGACGAAGCGUAAGUGACGGUAAUGGGUAAAGAAGCACCGGCUAACUACGUG
rnacentral:rRNA from 1 species